rnacentral:misc_RNA from 1 species
AACGCACAUUGCGCCCCUCGGUACUCCGGGGGGCAUGCCUGUCCGAGCGUCAUUGAAAACCAUCAAGCCUGGCUUGGUCUUGGGCGCGGUCCGGGGACCCGCUCGCAACCCGUCGGCGGUGCCGGCCCGGCCCUGAGCGUAGCAAAACCACUCGCUCGGGGGUCGCGGCGGCGCCCGCUAGGAGCACACACCUCAAGUUUGACCUCGGAUCAGGUAGGGAUACCCGCUGAACUUAA